rnacentral:rRNA from 1 species
GAUGAACGCUAGCGGCAGGCCUAAUACAUGCAAGUCGAACGAUAGAAGAGAGCUUGCUCUCUUCGAAAGUGGCGCACGGGUGCGUAACGCGUAUGCAACCUACCUUAAUCAGGGGGAUAGCCCGAAGAAAUUCGGAUUAACACCGCAUAAAAUCACAGUACAGCAUUGUACAAUGAUCAAAUAUUUAUAGGAUUAAGAUGGGCAUGCGUGACAUUAGCUAGUUGGCGGGGAAACGGCCCACCAAGGCGACGAUGUCUAGGGGAUCUGAGAGGAUGACCCCCAACACAGGUACGGAGACACGGACCAGACUCCUACGGGAGGCAGCAGUAAGGAAUAUUGGUCAAUGGAGGCAACUCUGAACCGGCCAUGCCGCGUGCAGGAAGACGGCCCUCUGGGUCGUAAACUGCUUUUAUUCGGGAAUAAACCUCAUUACGUGUAGUGAGCUGAAUGUACCGAAGGAAUAAGGAUCGGCUAACUCCGUGCCAGCCGCCGCGGUAA